UGAAGUUCCUCUUCCCCAGCUAGGCAACACCCUCUUUGGUGCAGCCCUGGCCACUCCCCUUGCCAGCCUUCUAGGGAUCGCUGCGCACAUAGAGCUCUGCUUACAAAGGGCUUUAGGCUGUCCUAUGCCACCCAAAUUUAAUUGCAAACACAUACAAUGACUACUUUCCCCAACCAUUUGGACAAAGUCUAGUUUUUAAACCUGAGUUAAUGUUGCUUUUUCUACUUCCCAAAGCCUCUCACACUAUGCUAUCUCACUGACCCAGCAAAGUCUUCUCUUUCUCUGACCACACAAUCCUUUUCACGGGAACACAAGGACAUAGACAAACACUUCAUGGUGGAAAACCUUCCUGGAGUGAGUCAGCCAGCCCUGAGGAUGGUGGCUCUGACAAGUCCUGUAGCAGAGAAUUCUGUUUAACCAAGUGUGUCAACUUGAGUCCUCUGGGAAGCAAAUGCCAAAACGAAGUUAGACAUGCAA
rnacentral:lncRNA from 10 species